rnacentral:rRNA from 1 species
ACUCGAGUGGCGAACGGGUGAGUAACACGUGGGUGAUCUGCCCUGCACUUCGGGAUAAGCCUGGGAGACUGGGUCUAAUACCGGAUAGGAGCCAUUUUUAGUGUGAUGGUUGGAAAGUUUUUCGGUGUAGGAUGAGCUCGCGGCCUAUCAGCUUGUUGGUGGGGUAAUGGCCUACCAAGGCGGCGACGGGUAGCCGGCCUGAGAGGGUGGACGGCCACAUUGGGACUGAGAUACGGCCCAG